GACGAACCGUCCAAACGUUGUUCGGAAUCACUGGGCUUAAAGGGCGCGUAGGCGGGUUCCCAAGUCGGCGGUGAAAUCUUUCGGCCCAACCGGAAAACAGCCGCCGAUACUGGGGACCUCGAGGGAGGUAGGGGUCGAGGGAACUUCCGGUGGAGCGGUGAAAUGCGUAGAUAUCGGAAGGAACGCCGGUGGCGAAAGCGCUCGACUGGACCUCUUCUGACGCUGAGGCGCGAAAGCCAGGGGAGCAAACGGGG
rnacentral:rRNA from 1 species